rnacentral:lncRNA from 1 species
GCCCCUUCUAUUUUUAUUUAAUUGUCUAAGUAUCGAAAUGAAGAAUGAUCGAAAUAAAUAACAAUUUAUUAUGUUUCACUAUGGAAAUUUGAAUAUAUGACUUCUUUUUGAAAAAUAAUUUAUCCUCCGAAUGAUAUCAUCCAACGCAAUCAAGAUUCGAGAUGCAAUGUCUCAAUCCUCAUAUCAAUUCAACAAUAUUUCAUCGCAAUUCAUGGAUCAAGAUAAGACUAACACAAAAUUUCUACCCUAAAAUCAUUUCGCCCAUGGCCCCUUCCACACCGAGCACAAAAGAAAAAUAUCAAUGCAUUUAAUCAAUCCUUUCAACCUCCAAUUUCAUUUGAUAUUCCCAUAUCCUACACCAAAAUUCUCAAUACCAAAUAUACUCCCAGAUUACAUGAUUCCCAAAACAUAGUUGAGCAUAGAACCCCCCAACAAAACAUCCUGAUUUGAAACCCAAAACAAAAUCUUAUAUACAAAAAUUAAACACACAAACAGAAACAGAAAUUUUUAGAAAUAAAUUUGAGAAAUUAAGAACAAGACAAACCGCAGAUCCUGACAGGGGCUCGGACUUGAAGAAGAAUAGGUUGAGAGAGGAAAAUUUGGCGGGCGUUGACGCAAAGCUGCCGGAUCUCCGCCUCCGAAAGCUGCACUUGUUUCCCCCCUUUGCCUUCCAAAAGCCUCCCUAUUAUAUCAUCCAACACCCCUCUAUCCAUCAUCCCUUCCAUUGUCAUCAUUUUUCCUCAAUUUCCCCAAAUUCUUAAUCAAAACUAGAGAUGGGUUUCCAAGAAAUUAUUCGUUUAUGCGUUUAUAUCGCGGAUAAAUGAUUGAGUUUCGAUUGAAUGGCUCUUUAGAUACGCAAAAUUGAUUAUAAAGAUGCUAAGAAGAAAAGGCUUUUAUUUUUUCUUUAUCUUAUGUACCAAGACAAGAUUUGUUUUGGGUCAUUCGGCAAUGUUGUCAUUGUCCCAUGAUGCGUGCUCUCCUCGCCUCUCUCCCUCUUUCUCUCUCUACACAUAUAUAAUGUAUAUCUUUAAUUCUGGUAUAAGGGUUGAAAGCUUCAAAGGAGGCAAAUGGGAAAUUGUGAAUGUUGACUAGAGAUAAGCGCGGGUGCGCACGAUUACACCAUGGAC